GGCUCACGUUAAUUCUUCUCACGGAGCUUUUCUCUACAGGAUUCUCUUAAGCCUUUCUCCUUUUCGGUGGAGCUCAGUGCUUCCAAGAUUAGAUCGGGAGUUUUCUUCAUGAGGUCAAGAUGUGUUUUUUUUGGGGGGGAGGCAAAAUUCUGCUACUAAUUGAAGAAGAGUGUUUAGGAGACAGAAGUUUGUGAGAAACAGAAGAGGGACUCUUUGGUCCAGACUUUGAUGAGAGCUCACGGUUUCAUUUAUUCAGUGCAUUUUUUUGAGUGCCGAGCGCUGGAGAUACAGAUGGAAAGGUCCGCGCUCUCCCAGAAUGUACAGUUAGGAGGGAGUGUAGUAAGAAAGAUAGGCAUUGUGAGCCACCACGCCUGGCCCAUUACAAAUUUUUUAAGCAUGAUACAGUCACAUGGCCAGAGUUAAUAAUCACUAGAAUGA
rnacentral:lncRNA from 10 species